CGGAUAUGACCUUCGGCUUCCUGGUCGAUGGUGGAAAGAUUUAUCGGUGCAAGAUGAGCCCGCGGCCUAUCAGCUUGUUGGUGGGGUAAUGGCCUACCAAGGCGACGACGGGUAGCCGGCCUGAGAGGGCGACCGGCCACACUGGGACUGAGACACGGCCCAGACUCCUACGGGAGGCAGCAGUGGGGAAUAUUGCACAAUGGGCGGAAGCCUGAUGCAGCGACGCCGCGUGAGGGAUGACGGCCUUCGGGUUGUAAACCUCUUUCGACUCCGACGAAGCGAGAGUGACGGUAGGAGUAUAAGAAGCACCGGCCAACUACGUGCCAGCAGCCGCGGUAAUACGUAGGGUGCGAGCGUUGUCCGGAAUUACUGGGCGUAAAGAGCUUGUAGGCGGCUUGUCGCGUCGAUCGUGAAAACUCGGGGCUCAACCCCGAGCUUGCGGUCGAUACGGGCAGGCUUGAGUACUUCAGGGGAGACUGGAAUUCCUGGUGUAGCGGUGAAAUGCGCAGAUAUCAGGAGGAACACCGGUGGCGAAGGCGGGUCUCUGGGAAGUAACUGACGCUGAGAAGCGAAAGCGUGGGUAGCGAACAGGAUUAGAUACCCUGGUAGUCCACGCCGUAAACGGUGGGUACUAGGUGUGGGUUUCCUUCCACGGGAUCCGUGCCGUAGCUAACGCAUUAAGUACCCCGCCUGGGGAGUACGGCCGCAAGGCUAAAACUCAAAGGAAUUGACGGG
rnacentral:rRNA from 1 species